AUUACUAUACUUUCAGGGAUCAUUUCUAUAGUUUGUAACUAGAGAAGUGUGGUUGAAAGUGUUACUUGUCCCCCUCUGUGACCAGAUUCACAGA
rnacentral:snoRNA from 1 species